UACGUAGGGACCAAGCGUUGUUCGGAUUUACUGGGCGUAAAGGGCGCGUAGGCGGCGCGGUAAGUCACUUGUGAAAUCUCUGAGCUUAACUCAGAACGGCCAAGUGAUACUGCAGUGCUAGAGUGUGGAAGGGGCAAUCGGAAUUCUUGGUGUAGCGGUGAAAUGCGUAGAUAUCAGGAGGAACACCAAUUGCGAAGGCAGCUCGCUGGGACGUUACUGACGCUGAGACGCGAAAGCGUGGGGAGCAAACAGG
rnacentral:rRNA from 1 species